CCUACGGGUGGCAGCAGUGAGGAAUAUUGGUCAAUGGGCGUAAGCCUGAACCAGCCAAGUCGCGUGAGGGAUGAAGGUUCUAUGGAUCGUAAACCUCUUUUAUAAGGGAAUAAAGUGCGGGUCGUGUCCCGUUUUGCAUGUACCUUCUGAAUAAGGAUCGGCUAACUCCGUGCCAGCAGCCGCGGUAAUACGGAGGUUCCGAGCGUUAUCCGGAUUUAUUGGGUUUAAGGGGUGCGUAGGCGGCCUUUUAAGUCAGCGGUGAAAGUCUGUGGCUCAACCAUGGAAGUGCCGUUGAAACUGGGAGGCUUGAGUAUGUUUGAGGCAGGCGGAAUGCGUGGUGUAGCGGUGAAAUGCUUAGAUAUCACGCAGAACCCCGAUUGCGAAGGCAGCCUGCCAAGCCAUGACUGACGCUGAGGCUCGAAAGCGUGGGGAGCAAACAGGAUUAGAUACCCUAGUAGUC
rnacentral:rRNA from 1 species